rnacentral:rRNA from 1 species
UACGUAGGGUGCAAGCGUUAAUCGGAAUUACUGGGCGUAAAGCGUGCGCAGGCGGUUUUUUAAGCUUGAUGUGAAAUCCCCGGGCUUAACCUGGGAACUGCAUUGAGGACUGGAAGGCUAGAGUACGGCAGAGGGGGGUGGAAUUCCACGUGUAGCAGUGAAAUGCGUAGAGAUGUGGAGGAAUACCGAUGGCGAAGGCAGCCCCCUGGGAUAACACUGACGCUCAUGCACGAAAGCGUGGGGAGCAAACAGG